rnacentral:rRNA from 1 species
UUGGAGGGCAAGUCUGGUGCCAGCAGCCGCGGUAAUUCCAGCUCCAAUAGCGUAUAUUAAAGUUGUUGCAGUUAAAAAGCUCGUAGUUGAAUUUCGGGGUUCUUCCGUUGGUCAGGCUAACCAGUCUGUACUAGCGUGUAGAAUCUCUACCUUAUGGGGAACCAUCAUGUUAUUAAUUUAGCGUGGUGGGAAACCAGGACCUUUACCUUGAAAAAAUUAGAGUGUUCAAAGCAGGCUUACGUCUGAAUACAUUAGCAUGGAAUAAUAAAAUAGGACGGUGGUCCUGUUUUGUUGGUUUCUGUAUCACCGUAAUGAUUAAUAGGGAUAGUUGGGGGCAUUAGUAUUCAAUUGUCAGAGGUGAAAUUCUUGGUUUUAUUGAAGACUAACUUCUGCGAAAGCAUUUGCCAAGGAUGUUUUCAUUAAUCAAGAACGAAAGUUAGGGGAUCGAAGACGAUCAGAUACCGUCGUAGUCUUAACCAUAAACUAUGCCGACUAGGGAUCGGACGAUGUUAAAUUUUAUUGACUCGUUCGGCGCCUUACGGGAAAC